AGUCACAUGGAGGUUAUCGGUCGCUCCCUCGGUUUUGUGGCACAGUCGUUCUCCGGUGCGCCUCGCUGACGGACGAGAAGCGAAACACUCAAUCCUUCCGGGUGCGCUCUUACAGUGUUUUAGACCGAACUACGUUGUUUUUUUUCUUGCGGAAAAUCUCUACAAAAGCCGCCGGUAAACGAUACUCUGCUCAAAGUGGUUAUUUUUAGUCACCGAGGCAGCGAUGAGUGUCUGGAAGCCGGCUGUGACAGCGAGCGGUGCCGCGCUGUGGUGAGAGAAGCUCCAGCUCGCCCAACCUGCAAGAAUGAAGUCGAGGCGAGACAAACUGAAGAUCCCCUCUCUGACUCUGGAGACACGACUGAGGUCUUACGUCUGCCCACUCUUCCACCAGAGUAGCCUUUUUUGUGUGUGUGUGCACAAACAGAGGGAGAGUACCUGCUGCCCAC
ensembl:lncRNA